CCUACGGGGGGCAGCAGUGGGGAAUAUUGGGCAAUGGGGGAAACCCUGACCCAGCGACGCCGCGUGAGGGAAGAAGGUUUUCGGAUUGUAAACCUCUGUCCUUGGUGACGAUAAUGACGGUAGCCAAGGAGGAAGCCACGGCUAACUACGUGCCAGCAGCCGCGGUAAUACGUAGGUGGCGAGCGUUGUCCGGAAUUACUGGGUGUAAAGGGAGCGUAGGCGGGAGAGCAAGUCGACUGUGAAAUCUAUGGGCUUAACCCAUAGCUGCGAUCGAAACUGUUCAUCUUGAGUGAAGUAGAGGCAGGCGGAAUUCCUAGUGUAGCGGUGAAAUGCGUAAAUAUUAGGAGGAACACCAGUGGCGAAGGCGGCCUGCUGGGCUUUAACUGACGCUGAGGCUCGAAAGCGUGGGUAGCAAACAGGAUUAGAUACCCGGGUAGU
rnacentral:rRNA from 1 species